GACGAACCGUACGAACGUUAUUCGGAAUCACUGGGCUUAAAGGGUGCGUAGGCUGCGCAGCAAGUUGGGUGUGAAAUCCCUCGGCUUAACCGAGGAACUGCGCCCAAAACUGCUGUGCUCGAGGGAGACAGAGGUGGGCGGAACUUAGGGUGGAGCGGUGAAAUGCGUUGAUAUCCUAAGGAACACCGGUGGCGAAAGCGGCUCACUGGGUCUCUUCUGACGCUGAGGCACGAAAGCUAGGGGAGCGAACGGG
rnacentral:rRNA from 1 species